GACGAACGCUGGCGGCGUGCUUAACACAUGCAAGUCGAACGGAAAGACCCUGCUUUUGUGGGGUGCUCGAGCGGCGAACGGGUGAGUAACACGUGAGUAACCUGCCCUUGACUUUAGGAUAACUUCAGGAAACUGGGGCUAAUACCGGAUAGGAGCUCCUGCUGCAUGGUGGGGGUUGGAAAGUUUCGGCGGUUGGGGAUGGACUCGCGGCUUAUCAGCUUGUUGGUGGGGUAGUGGCUUACCAAGGCUUUGACGGGUAGCCGGCCUGAGAGGGUGACCGGCCACAUUGGGACUGAGAUACGGCCCAGACUCCUACGGGAGGCAGCAGUGGGGAAUAUUGCACAAUGGGCGGAAGCCUGAUGCAGCAACGCCGCGUGCGGGAUGACGGCCUUCGGGUUGUAAACCGCUUUCGCCUGUGACGAAGCGUGAGUGACGGUAAUGGGUAAAGAAGCACCGGCUAACUACGUG
rnacentral:rRNA from 1 species